rnacentral:misc_RNA from 1 species
AAGGAGUCUAACGUACGCGCGAGUGUGCCGGUGGAGAAACCGAUACGCGUAAUGAAAGUGAACGGUGGGAUCCGCAAGGUGCACCAUCGACCGACCUGCUGCAAGGCUGGUUUGAGUAGGAGCAUAUUUGUUGGGACCCGAAAGAUGGUGAACUAUGCCUGAAUAGGGUGAAGCCAGAGGAAACUCUGGUGGAGGCUCGUAGCGAUACUGACGUGCAAAUCGUUCGUCAAAUUUGGGUAUAGGGGCGAAAGACUAAUCGAACCAUCUAGUAGCUGGUUCCCAC